rnacentral:antisense_RNA from 1 species
UGUUAUGGCGGCUGUGCGUGGGAGACCUCGUGUCUGCCGGGUUGCCUCUGUCCCGGGUUUCCAGCCUGCGUACAGCUGCCACCUAU